rnacentral:rRNA from 1 species
UACGUAGGGUGCGAGCGUUGUCCGGAAUUAUUGGGCGUAAAGAGCUCGUAGGCGGUCUGCCGCGUCGAUCGUGAAAACUUGGGGCUUAACCCUGAGCUUGCGGUCGAUACGGGCAUGACUGGAGUUCGGCAGGGGAGACUGGAAUUCCUGGUGUAGCGGUGAAAUGCGCAGAUAUCAGGAGGAACACCGGUGGCGAAGGCGGGUCUCUGGGCCGAUACUGACGCUGAGGAGCGAAAGCGUGGGGAGCGAACAGG